UACGUAGGGUGCAAGCGUUGUCCGGAAUUAUUGGGCGUAAAGAGUUCGUAGGUGGUUUGUCGCGUUGUUCGUGAAAACCGGGGGCUUAACCCUCGGCGUGCGGGCGAUACGGGCAGACUUGAGUACUGCAGGGGAGACUGGAAUUCCUGGUGUAGCGGUGGAAUGCGCAGAUAUCAGGAGGAACACCGGUGGCGAAGGCGGGUCUCUGGGCAGUAACUGACGCUGAGGAGCGAAAGCGUGGGGAGCGAACAGG
rnacentral:rRNA from 1 species